rfam:Felis catus isolate Cinnamon breed Abyssinian chromosome A1, whole genome shotgun sequence.
GCCUGGGUGGCUCAGUUGGUUGAGCGUCCGACUUCGACUCAGGUCAUGAUCUCACAAUCUGUGGGUUUGAGCCCCACGUCGGGCU